CCCUUAGAUGUUCUGGGCCGCACGCGCGCUACACUGAUGCAUUCAACGAGUCUAAAACCUGCUCUGAUAGGGGUGGGUAAUCUUUUGAAUGUGCAUCGUGAUGGGGAUAGAUUAUUGCAAUUAUUAGUCUUGAACGAGGAAUUCCUAGUAAGCACAAGUCAUCAGCUUGUGUUGAUUACGUCCCUGCCCUUUGUACACACCGCCCGUCGCUCCUACCGAUUGAAUGUUCCGGUGAGCUCUUCGGACUGCGCGGUCUGCAGUUUCUGCGUUCCGUGCGGAAAGUUGCGCAAACCUUAACAUUUAGAGGAAGGAGAAGUCGUAACA
rnacentral:rRNA from 1 species